GAAACACAUGGCUACACUGAGAAACAGAGCGCGGACCAUAAUGCAGCCAGCAGCAUCCCCUCUUUUACACCCCACAGGCUCCAUCUUCUCAAUGUUAUGGAGGAAAAUAAUUUCACAGCCAGUAAACUAGGCUAUUGUGUUCUCCAAGGAAAGAAUUUGUGUGCUAUGCCGCUGCAUAACGGCCAUAGGGGAGUUGCUCUGCGAAACCCUUUCCUUCUCCCUCCCUGCCAGUAGUUGCCUUAGUGACAAAACUAAUCGCUGCUGGUGCCCCUGCUCCUGUGAACAGGAGAAAAACAAAACCAUUUUUAUUGCUGUUCCAGCAAUCCUCUGCAAGUCCAACCUCAAGACGAAAUGUGCUGAUUAAAAGAUACGCUGCAGGUACUGGAGGAACACAAUGAAAAGGCAGAGUGCAGUGAAUGAAUCUUGUCUCUCAGCAGUGCUAUUUGAAGAACUUCUUGAAGCCAGUGGGAAAGAAAAAAUGAAAGUGAAUAAUAGGAAAAAUAAAAAAUAAAAAGUCAGACUUGGAGAUUUCUGCUCUUUCCACUGAACUUCUCUUUGCAUGAGUCAGAGGAAGGUGUGAAAUUAUAAGAAGAUCACCCUGUGAAGAUCUAUGAAAAUCUAGUCAGAUAAUCAACUGAGACUGAAGAAUGAUUCUUCUCAACCUGAAGUGCACAUCUAAAAUAGAUCAGACAGUCAAACCUCAGAAUUGCUGGCUGUUAAGUGAGGUCAGCACGACUAGCUUUGUAGCAGAAGUUCACUACAGAUGUCUAAAGCCAGAUGAGAAGUAUCACCUCAUUAAUCAAUUCAAGCACAGUAUGAAUGUAGUAAAGGACCAGCACACCAGCAAAGGCAGCUAUACAAAAGCUCUUCUGUGUGUUGAUAGGCAGUAGAGGUGCCAGUGAUAAAUUGGGCUGCACGUGGAACAAGAUUAAAAGUAUUAAGUUGGAGUGCAUUGCCUUGUACAUGAAUUUACUGAGUAGCUUCAAAGGGAAUGUAUGUUCAGUUAUGAUGGUUUGAGGGGAAAAAAAUUUUGUCAUUUUGUAUUGUCACAAAGGAAGACAUUCUACGUAAGUGCUAGAAGAUAAGGGAAAUCAUGGAAAACCUGAAGGAUUCAGAAAGACUUGGAUUGUUAGCAUUUGGAAGGAGACAAAGAAAUAUAGCAAUAAAAGCUGGGUUCACUGUGGUUGUAUGCUUGUUUUGUCACAGAUGUUCAGGGCACAAACUACCCUAACAAUGGCAUCCCUAAACUUGGUGUCCAGAUCUGAGAUAGUCACCUUGGGCUGCAAUAGAAGGGAAAAUGAUUAUUCUAUACUUACCAUUAGCAAGUGAUAUUCUUCCAUGUCUUGGAAAGCAGGGUCUCAAUGGACAUAGCAGCCAUUUGGGAGGACAGACAAGUUGAAAAGUGGUACAGGGGGUCUGCUUCUCCUCUCACUGUAGAAAUGAGCUAUGGACCUCACUGUUGCAUCAAUUGACUGACACUGCUCCAAGAUGAGUAAGAUUCAAAGAGAAACAGUGAUUACAUGGCUGAAAAGAAUAUCCAGAUAUAGCACAAAAGAUAAAAUUACACAGGAAGGCUAUAAAAUCUUCAGAUUUGAAAAGAUCAAGAUAUCCUUUAUUUUUUGUUGCUCAGAAGAGAUAAUCUGGGUUACAGACUGUAACGUCUGCUUAUUACAAACCAUUUUACACUUUUCGCCAGUCAAUGUUCUUUCUCAGGAAAGAAGUCCCUAGGCUAUUUCUCUGAUCCUAUAUGGACAUUUUUAUGUUGCUAGAGAAGAUGGAAGUCUCCAUUUGUGUUUAACAUGGGAUUUCCUCUUCUAGAUGGAAAUCAUCCAGUCUCAUUGAUUAAGUGCAAUUUCCACACACUUCAGUACAGCUCUGCAGGAUUUAAUGACUGCACCCAGCUGAGCAAUAUUCUCUGGAUUUGAUUCACUAUACAUAUUAAUUUUAGAGCCUGUCUCAAAUAACCUUCAUUGAUUUCUUCAUCAUAUAUACAAGUCUAACCUUGUUUGACUGGUUGCUUGAAAUGCAGUGCCAUUAUUCAGUGGAACAGGAAUUAAGACAGGCUGAUGUGGCUGAACAGAAUUAACGGUUUAAAAAAGUUGUCUGUCUGUGCUGAUGCAUUUGAGAAGAAAAGUGAUGGGGAUUCUGAGCACAGCGAGACCUGCAAGGUGCUUUGUAAAGCAAGUUACUUUCAAGAGAGAAAAAAAAAAACCAAAAACUGUCUGAAUGGUACAUUAGGCAUGAUCUGAUAAUAACCCCAAAAAUGUCUAGAAUGGAUACAAAUUGCAAAUCCACAGCUGUGACAAUGCAACUAUGGAUUUCUGGCCUCAUAGAUUUAGAGGAGCAAUAACUGCCAUUGCCAAACUAGUUAAAAGCAACGGCUGAAAGCGUGUAAGUUAGAC
rnacentral:lncRNA from 1 species